ACUGGUUUCGACGGGGGAAUUCGGUGGCUUGAGAAGCGAGUCGAGGUCGCACUAGCUCGAUAAACGGUGCAAAACAUUUAAACGCUAAACCAAAUUACGCUUUAGCUGCUUAGGCAGCUUUACCUCUUACCUGUUGUGCCUGCGGUACAGGAUAAGGGGCCACUUUAGCAGGCUACUCUUAAGUAACCGCCUUGUAACUUAGGGGAAAAUUAACAUGGCUGGCUGAAGGAAAUCUUGUUUGUGGGAGUUCUGGAGGCGAGACAAUAAAUCACAAACUACACUCGUAGAUGCUCAGGUGGUCAGUCCUUCGGACAGGGGUUCGAUUCA
rnacentral:tmRNA from 1 species